rnacentral:rRNA from 1 species
UACGUAGGGUGCGAGCGUUAAUCGGAAUUACUGGGCGUAAAGCGUGCGCAGGCGGUUCGUUAAGUUCGUUGUGAAAGCCCCGGGCUCAACCUGGGAACUGCAAUGGAAACUGGCGGGCUUGAGUGUGGCAGAGGGGGGUGGAAUUCCGCGUGUAGCAGUGAAAUGCGUAGAGAUGCGGAGGAACACCGAUGGCGAAGGCAGCCCCCUGGGCCAACACUGACGCUCAGGCACGAAAGCGUGGGGAGCAAACAGG